rnacentral:rRNA from 1 species
GGAAAGACACCACCAGGCUUGGGAUCUGCGGCUCAAUUUGACUCAACACGGGGAAGCUAACCCGGUCCGGACACAGGGAGGAUUGACAGAUUGAGAGCUCUUUCUUGAUUCUGUGAGGAGUGGUGCAUGGCCGUCCAUAGUUGGUGGAGUGAUUUGUCUGCUUAAUUGCGAUAACGAACGAAAUCCCAACCUGCUAAAUAGGCGACCCGUUCCUCUGUUAGAGACGGGCGACCUUCUUCUUAGAGGGACCGGCGGCGUUCAGCCGCACGAGACGGGGCCAUGACAGGUCUGGAAUGCCCUCAGAUGUCCGGGGCCGCACGCGCGUCACAUUGGAGGGAGCAGCGUGUGCUCUCCUGGCCCGACAGGGUCGGGUAACCCGCUUAACCCCCUCCGUGCUUGGGACAGCCGUUUGUAACUUUCCGGCUCGAACGAGGAAAGCCUAGUAAGCGCGACUCAUCAAGUCGUGUUGACUCAGUCCCUGUCUUUUGUCCACACCGCCCGUCGCUAUACCCGAUGGGGCGAAUUAGUGAGUUCUUCGGACCGGAGACUCGGGGCACGGCCUUCGGGUCACCGUCCCGGGGCACCGGGAAGACGAGCAAACUUGUCCGCCUAGAGGAGAUAAA